UACGGAGGGGGCUAGCGUUGUUCGGAAUUACUGGGCGUAAAGCGCGCGUAGGCGGACCUGCAAGUCGGGGGUGAAAGCCCGAGGCUUAACCUCGGAACUGCCUUCGAUACUGCGGGUCUCGAGUCCGGGAGAGGUGAGUGGAAUUCCUAGUGUAGAGGUGAAAUUCGUAGAGAUUAGGAAGAACACCAGUGGCGAAGGCGGCUCACUGGCCUGGUACUGACGCUGAGGCGCGAAAGAGUGGGGAGCAAACAGG
rnacentral:rRNA from 1 species